rnacentral:rRNA from 1 species
UACGUAGGGCGCAAGCGUUGUCCGGAAUCAUUGGGCGUAAAGAGCUCGUAGGCGGCCUGUUGCGUCCGCUGUGAAAUCCCGGGGCUUAACCCCGGGCGUGCAGUGGAUACGGGCUGGCUGGAGGCAGGCAGGGGAGAACGGAAUUCCCGGGUGUAGCGGUGAAAUGCGCAGAUAUCGGGAGGAACACCGGGUGGCGAAGGCGGUUCUCUGGGCCUGUACUGACGCUGAGGAGCGAAAGCGUGGGGAGCGAACAGG